rnacentral:piRNA from 2 species
CGUGAGUUCGAGCCUCACACGGGGCAC